rnacentral:rRNA from 1 species
GACGAACGCUGGCGGCGUGCUUAAUACAUGCAAGUCGAGCGAGGUUACUGUUUUGGAUCCCUUCGGGGUGAAGAAGCUUUAACCUAGCGGCGGACGGGUGAGUAACGCGUGGGUAACCUACCCCAAAGUCCGGGAUAACAGCGGGAAACCGCUGCUAAUACCGGAUGCCUUUACCUUGGGGCAUCUUGAGGUAAAGAAAGGCAACGCUUUGGGAUGGGCCCGCGUCCCAUUAGCUAGUUGGUGAGGUAACGGCUCACCAAGGCGACGAUGGGUAGCCGGCCUGAGAGGGUGGACGGCCACACUGGGACUGAGACACGGCCCAGACUCCUACGGGAGGCAGCAGUAGGGAAUAUUGCGCAAUGGACGGAAGUCUGACGCAGCGACGCCGCGUGAGCGAUGAAGGUCUUCGGAUCGUAAAGCUCUGUCCUUGGGGAAGAAGGCGAAAGCUUGACGGUACCCAAGAAGAAAGCCCCGGCUAACUACGUGCCAGCAGCCGCGGUAAUACGUAGGGGGCGAGCGUUGUCCGGAAUUACUGGGCGUAAAGGGUGCGUAGGCGGCCCUUUAAGUCGGAUGUGAAAGCCCGCGGCUUAACCGCGGAAUGGCAUUCGAAACUGGAGGGCUUGAGUGUCGGAGAGGGUAGUGGAAUUCCCAGUGUAGCGGUGAAAUGCGUAGAUAUUGGGAGGAACACCAGUGGCGAAGGCGACUACCUGGACGAUAACUGACGCUGAGGCACGAAAGCUAGGGGAGCAAACAGGAUUAGAUACCCUGGUAGUCCUAGCCGUAAACGAUGGGUACUAGGUGUGGGUGGUUUCGAUACCAUCCGUGCCGUAGUUAACGCAUUAAGUACCCCGCCUGGGGAGUACGUGCGCAAGCAUGAAACUCAAGGAAUUGACGGGGGCCCGCACAGCGGUGGAGCAUGUGGUUUAAUCNAAGCAACGCGAAGACCUUACCAGGUCUUGACAUCACCUAGCAGCCAUGGAAACNUGCCCUCUUCGGACUGGGUGACAGGUGUGC